rnacentral:rRNA from 1 species
CAGGCUUAACACAUGCAAGUCGAGGGGCAUCAGGAAGAAAGCUUGCUUUCUUUGCUGGCGACCGGCGCACGGGUGAGUAACACGUAUCCAACCUGCCCUUUACUCGGGGAUAGCCUUUCGAAAGAAAGAUUAAUACCCGAUAGCAUAAUGAUUCCGCAUGGUUUCAUUAUUAAAGGAUUCCGGUAAAGGAUGGGGAUGCGUUCCAUUAGGUUGUUGGUGAGGUAACGGCCCACCAAGCCUUCGAUGGAUAGGGGUUCUGAGAGGAAGGUCCCCCACAUUGGAACUGAGACACGGUCCAAACUCCUACGGGAGGCAGCAGUGAGGAAUAUUGGUCAAUGGGCGCUAGCCUGAACCAGCCAAGUAGCGUGAAGGAUGAAGGCUCUAUGGGUCGUAAACUUCUUUUAUAUAAGAAUAAAGUGCAGUAUGUAUACUGUUUUGUAUGUAUUAUAUGAAUAAGGAUCGGCUAACUCCGUGCCAGCAGCCGCGGUAAUACGGAGGAUCCGAGCGUUAUCCGGAUUUAUUGGGUUUAAAGGGAGCGUAGGUGGACUGGUAAGUCAGUUGUGAAAGUUUGCGGCUCAACCGUAAAAUUGCAGUUGAUACUGUCAGUCUUGAGUACAGUAGAGGUGGGCGGAAUUCGUGGUGUAGCGGUGAAAUGCUUAGAUAUCACGAAGAACUCCGAUUGCGAAGGCAGCUCACUGGACUGCAACUGACACUGAUGCUCGAAAGUGUGGGUAUCAAACAGGAUUAGAUACCCUGGUAGUCCACACAGUAAACGAUGAAUACUCGCUGUUUGCGAUAUACAGUAAGCGGCCAGGCGAAAGCAUUAAGUGUUCCACCUGGGGAGUACGCCGGCAACGGUGAAACUCAAAGGAAUUGACGGGGGCCCGCACAAGCGGAGGAACAUGUGGUUUAAUUCGAUGAUACGCGAGGAACCUUACCCGGGCUUAAAUUGCAGUGGAAUGAUGUGGAAACAUGUCAGUGAGCAAUCACCGCUGUGAAGGUGCUGCAUGGUUGUCGUCAGCUCGUGCCGUGAGGUGUCGGCUUAAGUGCCAUAACGAGCGCAACCCUUAUCUUUAGUUACUAACAGGUUAUGCUGAGGACUCUAGAGAGACUGCCGUCGUAAGAUGUGAGGAAGGUGGGGAUGACGUCAAAUCAGCACGGCCCUUACGUCCGGGGCUACACACGUGUUACAAUGGGGGGUACAGAAGGCAGCUAGCGGGUGACCGUAUGCUAAUCCCAAAAUCCUCUCUCAGUUCGGAUCGAAGUCUGCAACCCGACUUCGUGAAGCUGGAUUCGCUAGUAAUCGCGCAUCAGCCACGGCGCGGUGAAUACGUUCCCGGGCCUUGUACACACCGCCCGUCAAGCCAUGGGAGCCGGGGGUACCUGAAGUACGUAACCGCAAGGAUCGUCCUAGGGUAAAACUGGUGACUGGGGCUAA